GACGAACGCUGGCGGCGUGCCUAAUACAUGCAAGUCGAACGCAGUGGGGACGGGUGAGUAACACGUGGGUAACCUCCCAUCAGAGGGGAUAACACUUGGAAACAGGUGCUAAACCGAUACUGAUGGAUGAACCCGGGGUGCAUUAGCUAGUGGGGGGGGUAACGGCUCACCAAGGCCACGAUGCAUAGCCGAUCUGAGAGGUUGAUCGGCCACACUGGGACUGAGACACGGCCCAGACUCCUACGGGAGGCAGCAGUGGGGAAUAUUGGGCAAUGGACGAAAGUCUGAUCGAGCAACGCCGCGUGUGUGAAGAAGGUUUUCGGAUCGUAAAACUCUGUUAUUAGAGAAGCGGUAUUUAACCAGAAAGCCACGGCUAACUACGUGCCAGCAGCCGCGGUAAUUC
rnacentral:rRNA from 1 species